UACAGAGGGUGGCAAGCGUUAAUCGGAAUUACUGGGCGUAAAGCGUGCGUAGACGGUCAUGUAAGUCGGGUGUGAAAGCCCCGGGCUCAACCUGGGAAUUGCAUUCGAGACUGCAUGGCUAGGGUGCGGAAGAGGGAAGCGGAAUUUCCGGUGUAGCGGUGAAAUGCGUAGAUAUCGGAAGGAACACCAGUGGCGAAAGCGGCUUCCUGGUCCAGCACCGACGUUCAGGCACGAAAGCGUGGGGAGCAAACAGG
rnacentral:rRNA from 1 species